rnacentral:piRNA from 1 species
GUUGUGCAUGCAUAGAGAACUCC